rnacentral:rRNA from 1 species
GACGAACGCUGGCGGCGUGCCUAAUACAUGCAAGUCGAGCGGAACUGGGGGAGCUUGCUCCUUCCAGUUUAGCGGCGGACGGGUGAGUAACACGUGGACAACCUGCCCUGCAGAUCGGGAUAACUCCGGGAAACCGGUGCUAAUACCGAAUAGUUUGGCGCCUCUCCUGAGGCGCUACGGAAAGAAGGUUUCGGCUGUCACUGCAGUAUGGGCCCGCGGCGCAUUAGCUAGUUGGUGGGGUAACGGCCCACCAAGGCGACGAGGCGUAGCCGACCUGAGAGGGUGACCGGCCACACUGGGACUGAGACACGGCCCAGACUCCUACGGGAGGCAGCAGUAGGGAAUCUUCCGCAAUGGACGCAAGUCUGACGGAGCAACGCCGCGUGAGUGACGAAGGUUUUCGGAUCGUAAAACUCUGUUGUGAGGGAAGAACACGUACCAACUAACUAUUGGUACCUUGACGGUACCUCACCAGAAAGCCACGGCUAGCUACGUGCCAGCAGCCGCAGUAA